CUUGCUCCUUUGACGUUAGCGGCGGACGGGUGAGUAACACGUGGGUAACCUACCUAUAAGACUGGGAUAACUUCGGGAAACCGGAGCUAAUACCGGAUAAUAUUUCGAACCGCAUGGUUCGAUAGUGAAAGGUGGUUUUGCUAUCACUUAUAGAUGGACCCGCGCCGUAUUAGCUAGUUGGUAAGGUAACGGCUUACCAAGGCGACGAUACGUAGCCGACCUGAGAGGGGUGAUCGGCCACACUGGAACUGAGACACGGUCCAGACUCCUACGGGAGGCAGAGGG
rnacentral:rRNA from 1 species